rnacentral:rRNA from 1 species
UGCAAGUCGAGCGAAGUGACGGUAACUUGCUCCCUGAUAUUAGCGGCGGACGGGUGAGUAACACGUGGGUAACCUGCCUGUAAGAUUGGGAUAACUCCGGGAAACCGGAGCUAAUACCGGAUAACAUGUUGAACCGCAUGGUUCAACAUUGAAAGAUGGCUUUUGCUAUCACUUACAGAUGGACCCGCGGCGCAUUAGCUAGUUGGUGAGGUAACGGCUCACCAAGGCGACGAUGCGUAGCCGACCUGAGAGGGUGAUCGGCCACACUGGGACUGAGACACGGCCCAGACUCCUACGGGAGGCAGCAGUAGGGAAUCUUCCGCAAUGGACGAAAGUCUGACGGAGCAACGCCGCGUGAACGAUGAAGGCCUUCGGGUCGUAAAGUUCUGUUGUUAGGGAAGAACAAGUACCAGAGUAACUGCUGGUACCUUGACGGUACCUAACCAGAAAGCCACGGCUAACUACGUGCCAGCAGCCGCGGUAAUACGUAGGUGGCAAGCGUUGUCCGGAAUUAUUGGGCGUAAAGCGCGCGCAGGUGGUUUCUUAAGUCUGAUGUGAAAGCCCACGGCUCAACCGUGGAGGGUCAUUGGAAACUGGGGAACUUGAGUGCAGAAGAGGAAAGU